rnacentral:rRNA from 1 species
UACGAAGGGGGCUAGCGUUAUCCGGAUUUACUGGGUUUAAAGGGUGCGUAGGUGGCUUUUUAAGUCAGGGGUGAAAGACGGUAGCUUAACUAUCGCAGUGCCUUUGAUACUGAAGAGCUUGAAUGAACUAGAGGUAGGCGGAAUGUGACAAGUAGCGGUGAAAUGCAUAGAUAUGUCUCAGAACACCAAUUGCGAAGGCAGCUUACUAUGGUGUCAUUGACACUGAGGCACGAAAGCGUGGGGAUCAAACAGG